GCGAAGAUAUCUCCGCUACCGGAUAGCAUGCUAGUCGAGCGGACAGAAGGGAGCUGUGCUCCCAGGAUGUUAGCGGCGGACGGGUGAGUAACACGUGGGUAACCUGCCUGUAAGACUGGGAUAACUCCGGGAAACCGGAGCUAAUACCGGAUAGUUCCUUGAACCGCAUGGUUCAAGGAUGAAAGACGGUUUCGGCUGUCACUUACAGAUGGACCCGCGGCGCAUUAGCUAGUUGGUGGGGUAAUGGCUCACCAAGGCGACGAUGCGUAGCCGACCUGAGAGGGUGAUCGGCCACACUGGGACUGAGACACGGCCCAGACUCCUACGGGAGGCAGCAGUAGGGAAUCUUCCGCAAUGGACGAAAGUCUGACGGAGCAACGCCGCGUGAGUGAUGAAGGUUUUCGGAUCGUAAAGCUCUGUUGUUAGGGAAGAACAAGUGCGAGAGUAACUGCUCGCACCUUGACGGUACCUAACCAGAAAGCCACGGCUAACUACGUGCCAGCAGCCGCGGUAAUACGUAGGUGGCAAGCGUUGUCCGGAAUUAUUGGGCGUAAAGGGCUCGCAGGCGGUUUCUUAAGUCUGAUGUGAAAGCCCCCGGCUCAACCGGGGAGGGUCAUUGGAAACUGGGAAACUUGAGUGCAGAAGAGGAGAGUGGAAUUCCACGUGUAGCGGUGAAAUGCGUAGAGAUGUGGAGGAACACCAGUGGCGAAGGCGACUCUCUGGUCUGUAACUGACGCUGAGGAGCGAAAGCGUGGGGAGCGAACAGGAUUAGAUACCCUGGUAGUCCACGCCGUAAACGAUGAGUGCUAAGUGUUUAGGGGGUUUCCGCCCCUUAGUGCUGCAGCUAACGCAUUAAGCACUCCGCCUGGGGAGUACGGUCGCAAGACUGAAACUCAAAGGAAUUGACGGGGGCCGCACAAGCGGUGGAGCAUGUGGUUUAAUUCGAAGCAACGCGAAGAACCUUACCAGGUCUUGACAUCCUCUGACAACCCUAGAGAUAGGGCUUUCCCUUCGGGACAGAAUGACAAGUGGGG
rnacentral:rRNA from 1 species